rnacentral:lncRNA from 1 species
AUGAAUGUCCCAGUUUCAGAUCCCAAAUUCACUUUUUUUUCUUUCAAGAAGUCAACUUCCCUUGUCCUGACCUCUCUCCUUCUCCUCACAAAUAACCUAGUCUCCUUUUCCUCACUCACGGUGGUCCCCCCGGGGCAGACCAGCUCUGCCUCCCUUUCACCCUCCUCUGUCAACCCUAAUCCUGCUCCCCUCUUUUCUUCCCAGCCUCCUCAGCUCCAUCUCAACGAGGCAGAAGAACAAAAGAACCAUAACAUGAGGGGAAAGAAGGAGCAGGCUAACCAAACAGAAGCACCAAAUAUGAGCCAGCGUCUCCCUCUCAGCUCUUUUCCACCAUCUUUGCCCACAAAGGUUUAUCACACAGAGAGGCCAGACACAAAUUCUUGAGUUCAGCAUGGAAAGACUGCAAGUGCUGCCUGCAACCACUAGAGUCCACAGUGGCUGCAUGUAUUGAAUUUCAAGAGGCUGCAGGCAAUGAAGGAAAAAGAUAGACAAGCAACGCUUCCGUCACACACUUAUUCAGAAUUAAAUUCCACAAAGUUUAACACAGCCUGCUUUCUGUUUAUACAGUCCAAAUCUGUGUAUGCAAACUCUGAAGUAUGGCUAAAUUCCAAAAAAAAAAAAAACUUACUGCCAAUUAAUGUAUAGGACUGCACCUUCAGUGUUUUAGCUUGCAGCUGUGAUCCUGUACACACUUACAAAGAAUACAUCCUACUGAGCACAGCAGGGCCUACUUCUGAGUACACAUAUGUAGGCUGAGUGUACGCCAACCAGAAUGUUGAGUUGCAUUACAAGGGCCACCACUAUAUCCUCUUUUGCAUUAUCAGUAGUGGGACGUUUGCCUAAGUUGUGAGGCAGACAGACAACAAAAUGUAGUCCUCAUGUACAAAGUUAUGGACUGAACCACAACCUACCUGCAAGAACAACAGAUAGUAACUUGGAAGUUGGCAAAACACAUCAGAUUCCCGCCAACUAAAGCAGAGUGACCCAUGAGCUUUUGUCUCUGAGCUCUCUUCUCUUUUACAGGGACUUUUCUGUCAUCCACAACAAAAGCAGGUAUCUUGCAGGGACAAAGCAGAUCCCUUUUCUUCCCCAAGUAUGUAAUAAGGUAUCUGAAAAAUGCUUAAAAUCUUCCUAUUGAAUUUAACUUUAUAAAGAUAACACAAAAGGUCACACAAAUAUAUGAGCUUGCAAGACUUCCAAAGCGUUCAUCUGAUAAGAUGGUACAAAGCUAGUUGAGCAUGGUGGACAGGAGUGGGAUUUCUUAAAAGGGUAAUUUUAUAUUGAAUUAAUGGUAUCUGCAUGCUCAGGCUAAGAUGAAAUGGUGAUGGAACCACUACAUGUUCAACAUCCAGUUAGCACUUCCACCUUCUAUACAUCUGCUUUUCAGAUUAUUUUGCCUUGAAAACUUACAUAUUUUUGUGACUUUUGAGAUGGCCUAAUAAUAAUAAUAAUUUUUUAAAAAGGGAUGUGGUGCCGCUGAAGGUUAAACUGCAGAAGCCUCUGUGCUGCAAGGUCAGAAGAUCAGCAGACGUAAGAUCGAAUAUACGCAACGGAGUGAGCUCCCGUCACUUGUCCCAGCUCUUGCUAACCUAGCAGUUUGCAAGCAUGUAAAUGCAAGUAGAUAAACAGGUACCACCAAGGUGAGAAGGUAACAGUGUUCCAUGUCUAGUUGCGCUGGCCCCGUGACCAUGGAAACUGUCUACAGACAAACUCUGGCUCUACGGUUUGGAAAUGGGGAUGAGCACUGCCCCCCUUACCUUUCCCUUAAUAAAUUAAAUAUGGAUUUUAAAACUUUCA